rnacentral:rRNA from 1 species
GACGAACGCUGGCGGCGUGCCUAACACAUGCAAGUCGAGCGAAUGAAGUUCCUUCGGGAACGGAUUUAGCGGCGGACGGGUGAGUAACACGUGGGCAACCUGCCUCAUAGAGGGGAAUAGCCUUCCGAAAGGGAGAUUAAUACCGCAUAAGAUUGUAGUACCGCAUGGUACAGCAAUUAACGGAGUAAUCCGCUAUGAGGUGGGCCCGCGGCGCAUUAGCUAGUUGGUGAGGUAACGGCUCACCAAGGCGACGAUGCGUAGCCGACCUGGGAGGGUGAUCGGCCACAUUGGGACUGAGACACGGCCCAGACUCCUACGGGAGGCAGCAGUGGGGAAUAUUGCACAAUGGGGGAAACCCUGAUGCAGCAACGCCGCGUGAGUGAUGACGGCCUUCGGGUUGUAAAGCUCUGUCUACAGGGACGAUAAUGACGGUACCUGAGGAGGAAGCCACGGCUAACUACGUGCCAGCCGCCGCCGUAA